AUUAAUAAUAAUAAUAAUAAUAAUAAUAUGUUCUUAAAUAGAAUCUUCUUUCACUCCGGACAUACUAACUUCUGUAUUACUAUUGUUUAUAUCUGGAAACCUAUGUAAAAAUAUUGAAGAGAGAGGAUUAUAGCUUCUGCUCAUACUUGCAUGCUGGGAAUGAUUCCAGUUCUUUUUUUUUUCUUUUUUCCUUUUUUCUUGUUCUUCAGUUCCAGCUCUGAUUGAACCUGUGAUCUAGCAAUCUACCAGGGUCCACAGUGUCCAACGUGUCUUUCUUUUCUAAGACAGCAGGAUGUGAUCUGAGGGAGAUAUGGCUGCUAAUUCUAGCUAUGUGGAGUGACCACAUAGAAGCCGUCCCAUCGGCUUCCUACCUCCCCACCAUAAUGUUUUUCUCUCCUUGUUUUGCCAUUUGAGUAACCUAGGCAAAUUCGAACCAUUUCGGUCGGAAGUCAACAUCCAGAACUCUUCCUGUCUUUAUAUCUUCAUCAAAUUUUUCAAGAUUUUUUUCUUAGUUCCUCAAAUAUAUUCAAAAGAUUUUGUAUUCUUCAACUUUUCAAGUGGUUCCUUUUGUAAUCAUUUUUUAAUAUUUUUCUUCAUAUAAAUGACUAAGAUAGAAUUUUAGUAGUCGUAGUACAAGUAGUGGUAGUAGUGUAACUAGUGGUAGUAGUGGUGGUGGUGGUAGUGGCUCGUUAGUAAUAGUAGUGAUGGAGGUGGGGUGGGGGAUGUUUGGAAGUUUACCAAUUGUGAAUUUAAAUCAUGAACAAAGUGGUUUAGCUAUCCAGAACUUUUGACCGAAAUCUUGCAAGACAAAAAGAGACAGCUCUUGGAUUCCAGGGGUUGGUAGCUAGGUGGUUGGGUGGCAAUGGGGUUGGUUUAUUUCAGGUUUCAAAGAGUUCUGUGAGGAUUUCAUUUCUUUCGUUCUUUCUUUUUUGAGGUAGAGGCCCUUCAGAUAUUCAAGGUCCCAUGGUCCCCUCCAUGCCCUACACUGGUGAUAGAGCCACUGAUACAUGUUAUCAUAUAGGCCUUGCCAAUAUUACAGAUUGCAGUUAGACAGUGAUUGGUGGUGGGGGUCUCUGGUGAGUUUGGUUGGCUCUAUGCAGGGGAUGCCUCUGGGACCCCUAACCUAAGGUGCCCCAGCCCCAUUGACAAAGAGCAUAGAGAGACAGAGAGAGAGACUGAAAUUUAAAAUAAGAAUUGAAACCCCUUGGGUAGGGUUUUGUUUUUUUAAUUUUGGACCCUCUUUCUACCAAAUACCAGUACUGGGUGGCACUGUGUCGAUGUUACCAACAUGAGACAGUAGUCAAGAUGUGAAUUUUAACUAAGCAAGAAUUAAAUAUAUCUGGAAAUUAUUAAAAGACCUGUUUAAUUAUUUACAAUGAUUGAACAAUGAAUUGACCCCUGGAUGAAGUCUUGAAAGGGGUUUCAUAUUGGUCAGCUUCACUUAAGCCUAAGGGUCCGAUUCUGACACCCAUUUGUUCCUUACAGCUUUCUGAACACAACUGAAGUAAACUGCCUUAAUAUACAAGAGUACCAGUAAUAUCCUGGGGUUGAUUUAGUCAGUCAAUUAGCUUUACAAAACAAUUUAGCACCCUUCCUCCUAAUAAUAAUGUCAGCCUAAAUGACCUUACAGGACUUUUGUCCUUCUGGGGUCAGAGUUCAAACCCAUACUCUGAUUUGACCUCUGUCUCUUUUAGGAUGCUGGUGUGUGGGUGUCAUUGUGUUGGAUGGGGUAGGUAAUAAAAUCAGUACCAGUAAUUCACUUGGGUUGAUCUAAUCCUGUAUCAGUGGUGGUGGAGGUGGUUGCACUGAAGAUUUAAAAAAACACAUUCCCCCCCCACCUAGUUUUGGGUCCUUCUACACUGCUCAGUUCCUUGGAUGGCUUUAGUUUCUUGGCACGUAGUUUUGCACAAUAAUGGUCAUUGUAUGCCAUUCUUGGAAUCUCACCGUGAAGCUUUCUUUAUUCAUUGGUUUCUAGUCAAUUAGCUCUCUGGUGCUUCUUCGGUAAGCACCAUGCCCACAACAUAGAUGUGUUAGUCUUUAUGACUGGAGUGGACGAAGGUCCUACCACCAUCAUCACUGUCAAUCUUUCUGCUCUUUGUCCAACUCACUUCACUUAAGCCUAAGAUGUCCAGCUAAUAUCUAUCAAACUCUCUCAACAAUUGGGUUAGUCUUCCAGUUUAGUACAGUUUUUGUACAUUCUAAGUUCCAGUCUUAGCUGUGGCUUUGGUCCUCAGAAUCAGGUUCUUUGAUUAAAACAGAGGUCACAUGAUUUACCAUAUUUAAUAAGAUUAGGCUGGUUUCCAGCUUGUUAAAUUUGUCCUUUGCUAUGGUGAAGUAUUCUGUGGUCACAGACUCUGAAGAUAACUUCUUUCCACCUAUCUUCUGUCAGAUUUUGGAGGCCCUGUUAAGGGCCACAGACUUGCCCUUUCCCAUUCAAAUAAAACCAUUAAAAAAAUAACAAUGAAAUUUUUUUUAAAUAACAAAUUUCAGAAGUUUAACUUUUUUAAUUAAAUUUCUGGUUUUUUUUAACUUUUAAUUUUUUUUUUUUGUUAAAUAAAAAAUAUUCUCAAUAUCUCCCCCAGAAAAAACUCCCACCCCAAAAGAUUACCCCUAACCAAAACAAAAAAAAAGCCAUCCCAUGAAAUUUUUAUGUUUUGUUUUUUAUUUUUUUUGCAUUUAAUUUUGAUUUUGUUUUUUAGAGUGUUUUCUUUUUUGUUUAUUUUAGUUUGCUUUUUUGUUUUGUUUUCAAUUUUAUCCCCUCCUACCAAAAAAAUAUUUUUAAUAAAUAAACAAAUAAAUAAAUAAUUUUGCCUUUUUUAUUGUUUUAUUUUAUUGUUUUUGUUUUCAUUUUAAUUUUCAUUCUAAUAUUUAAUGUUGCCUGUUUUUUUUUUCUCCCCCUUUGAUUUAUCUUUCCCCAGUGUAUCACUGGUUGUAAUUUCUCCAUAACAAACUAAUUUCAUGGUGAUGUGACUGAAGUAUCAACGUGUGACUUAUAGUGUAUGGCAGUGUGACAUGACGUAGGAUGAUGUGACUGAAAAUUAUGGUGACAUGAGCUGAGAUGUAAGAUGGUGUGACAGAAGAUGAAUGGUGGUGUGACAGGAAAUGUAGGGUGGUGUGACAGGAGGUGUAUGGUAGUGUGACAGAUAGGAUGUGACAGAAGGUGUGUGGUGGUGCAACAAAAGAUGAAAGGAUGAAAUAGAAAUGGUUUUUAUACCCAUUCCUUACCUUUAGAGACUAUCAUCACUAGGUUACCAAUUCUAGCAACUACUGUUAUGGUUUAUUGAAGAACUAAGAAAUAAUGAAGUUACUUGGAAUAAUAUAUAGGAAUAUAUAUGUUCUAAGAAUUACAGAAGAACCAGAAAUAAAUGAAUAUGAAAAUAAAAUGAAGUUUUAAAUAUUUAACCCCAUGAAGAUAGUGUCCCAGCAUGGCCACAGUCCAAUGACUGAAAGGAAUAAAAGAAAAUAUGGAAAAAUGAAUAUCAGCUAGUUUUAUUUUUUUGUUUUUUUUUCUUAGUGUUUCCUCCAAUUUCAGACAAUAGCAUACUAGGUAUGUUCUUUCCCAGUCCAUUUCAUAUAUCUGGUUCCAUGUUUGACUGGUUGUAUAGAGUAUAGAGAGGCAUUCAGAGUUUGGCAUUUAUUCCAUGUUGCUGUUUGGUUUAAUAUCUAUGUAUGGCUAAAGGUCAAUGAUGUCUUAGAGGUGGAAUGGACUAUUGAGUCUGUGGUCUUCAUUUGUUUGUUUCUUUGGAUUUAUUAACAGUGGUGGGCACCUCAGUACAAAAGUUGGUUGCAUUUUGGUAAUUUUUGACACAUCAAUUUUGCUGUAGGAUGUAUUUUUGGUAUUUUGGUGCCAAUAUUGAAUACUGUUGUUUGAAUCUCUUUGAGCAAAUCUUUCAAACGAGCUGAAGAACCAUCUGUAAGUUUCGUGUGUCUGAAAAUGAUGAAUAUUGUUCUUCAAGACCAUGUUGUAUACUCUGUGGCAUGGAGAGGUAGAUGUCCGUGCUAUCAAUGUCUUCUUGAUGCAGUUAGAACCAAGAUGCUUCACAGAAAGAUGGACCAAGAAUUACCGUCCCACAACUUUGGUAAAUUUUUGGUGUCAUGUUGUGUGUUUCUGCCAAUAAUUGUAACUGAAUUGUCUUUGGGGUGCUGGAGUCUCCAAAAUAUAACAUCUGAUGUGACCUGGUGUUCAACACAAUAAUAGUAACUAGCAAAGCCUCCCUACCCUGAGUUGAGCAACAAUAACAGAUUUGUGGAAACAUGGUAUGUUUCCACAAAUCUCAUUGGGUCUUGAACUCAUGUUUUGUGUCCGUGGAGCUCAUUCUUCAUAAUCCAGGAUUCAGCUUGACAAAUGGUCUCUCUUUUAUGACUUGAUUUUCCCAAUAUAGCAGCUAAAUCUUCAGCGAUCUAUUUCCCUGCUGUCUCUUAUAUAAGAAUUCCCUGCAACAAAACCUAAAUCCAAUCCCAGAAUCUGUUCCUCACUGCAAUAUUGACUGGAAUCAUUAUCAAAUUUGCUUUGGAAUUAUUUAAAUAUUUGGAAUUUCUUAAACAAAUGGAAUUCAUUCUUGAAGGAAGAAUUUUAACUUUUUUUCUCUCUUUUAUACACAAGGCGUUACUAUUUUCAUAUUCCGUCUGAAUAAUUUGGCUUGGUUCUUAUUGUCUUUGAUACUAGUUACCUUUGUGGUUGGUAUCGUGUUUAAUGUUGCAGUUAUUGUCGUAGUAGUCCUAUUUCAAGACGGAAUAACAAAGAAAGCAUUAAAUUGUGUUUAACUUUAUUUUCUUAUUUCAAUAUCUUAAGCUAUUCUCUUGAUAUCUCUUUUUACAUUCAAUAUCUUGUACAAAAUUUAAUAUCUUCUACAUUUGAUAUUUCUUAAUUCAAUUCCUUCUAUAUCCAAAGCAAUAUUUUCUUUCUUAUUUGAUACAACAUUUAAUUCUCUCUAUAUUCUUCAUCUUGUUCUCAAUGCAUCCUAUUUCUCUCCCUCCAUCCUCUUUAUCUCUCUCCUCUCUCUCUCUCAUAUAUAUAUAUACAUAUAAAAUUUAUCUCUCUAUCCAUGCUGGUUGUCCAAGAGAUGUUACCAACAAGACAAAUACAUAAACCAAAUUUUUAUUCCCAUAUAAAACAAAUUCCAAUUAUUUGUGUUUUUAAUGUUCUGUGGGGAAGCAUGAACACAACAACUUCACCGUUCCCCCACCUUUGAAUGUAGUCAAUAGCAAUUUACAUUUUAUUACUUUGCUAAAUCAAGCAACGAUUCUUCACUAGUAUUUGGUAUUUUUUGUUAUGAAUGUACAAACAUACUUGCAAAAUUGCUAUAGUCAUAAACAUGUGGUUAAGAAGCACAUGUCUUCAACAAAAUGGUUCUGGGUUCAGUCCCACCGCAUGCUUAAAGCCUUGGCUUAAUGAAUAUUUUAUGAAUGGAAUUUGGUAGAUGAAAUAGUACAAAAGUUCAGUGUGUGUCUGUGCAACCAUAGAUGAAUGUAUAUGUAUAUAUAUCUGUGUGUGUGUGCGCGCACAUAUAUUCAUAUCUACUUGUAUGUGUCUUAUAUUGUGGCACCAAGCUAACCAAUCCCUUGUGAGGAAAUCUGGUAAAUGGAGACUAUAUGAACCCUGUAAUAUCUAUUUAUCUGGGAAUGUUUACAUCCUGUGCUUUGCAUGAAAAUGUGCUGAACUAAAAACGGUGAUGGUUUGUUGUCAUUUCUCCUGUAAACAAAUUGUAUGUUAGUUCUGCUUUUUUGAAAAUGUGCAGAAAAAUCAAAAGACCUCCUACUGGAAAAAGAGGUAAUGUUAAUGAGGAAAGGCAUCCAGCUGUAAAGUUAAGCCACAAUAACAAGUAUUCAUCUAUCCCCAACCUAGAAUAGGAAAAGCAAUUUAAAUUAAAUGAAUAUGAUAGGACGAUUGGGAUGGAAUCAGUAUCAGGGGUUUCAUAUCAUUAGCAUUUGUGUUGAUCAUGGCUAUAUAACUUAGCCCUUGGUAGCCCUGUUCACUUGGCUGUAAAUAGGUACCACAGCAUAGCAUAAUGUGUAAGUAGCAGGAGCGCUGUAUAUUUAAUGUGCUUCCAGUUGUCUUGAUUGCACCAUUCUUUUCCAUCUUAAGCCAAAUUGCUUAACCCUUUCGUUACUGUAUUUAUUUUGAAAUACUCUGUGUUUCUUUCAGUUACUUCAAAUAUAACAAAGAAUUUAGUAAAAUAACUUAGUUAUUAUUAAGCUAGUGUUAGGAACAUAAAUUGUGACUAAGGUUCGAUGGAAGAUUUUAAUUCAAAACUCAUGAAAACAAGACAUUUGUAUUCAGAGCCAGAGCCGGUUUCAGCCAGGUUGGUAACGAAAGGGUUAACCAAGUUGUCUUCUCAUCCUCAUAGAGGUUUUCCAAGUGGCCUUUUCCCAUCUUUUGGAUAUCACUCAGCAACUGCACAGGUCCACCUGUUGUCUGUGAACCUUGUGGCAUGUCUGGCCCAGUGGAAUUUGUGCUUUCGAUAUUCUGCGAACACAUUGGUCACUCUGCUCUGUUCUUGAAUGAUCUCAUUUCAAAUGUGCUUUCUUAAUAUUGGAUUCAAAUUCUCCAAUUGACUGGUAUUGGCUACAUCCACAUGCCUAAAAGGCAUGACCUUUGACCUUCGUAUGAGAGGGUCACAUGAAAGAAAUUCUAGUUUGGUAAUUAUAUUUCUUUCUUUAUUGUUCCAUUGGUACUACCAUUAAGGUGGCAGUCAGUUGGCAGAAUUCUUCAAAUGGCAAAUUUUAUUAAAGUCACUUUAUGUUCUGAGUCAUAUUUCACCAAAUUCAGGUCGUUUUCCAGUCUUCAGCACCGGACAUUUAUUGUAGUAAAUUUAGAAAUUUACUAAAUGGAAUUCUAAUAGAAGAUUAAGAAGACUGCUUUAGAUAAAACUAAUAUUGAUAUGGCAUGUGGUUUGGAGGUUAGGGUUGUUAGCUUAUGAUUGUACAGUCGUGAGUUCAAUUCCCGGUGAUACUUUGUGCCAUUGAGCAAGACACUCUAUUUCAUGUUGCUCCAGUCCACUCAGCUGGCAAAAAUGAAUUAUACCUGUAUUUCAAAGGGGCCAGCCUUGUCUCAUUGCAUGUUAUGCUGAAUUUCACUCGGAACUACAUUAAGGGUGAAAAAUUAUUGCAGCCGUAAAUCCUUAUUAAGGGUAGAGGGAUUAUUGCAACUGUAAAUCUUUAUCAAGGGAUUAUUGUAGUAGUUAAAUACAAGAACCAGCAGAUACUAGCAUUUAAUUUCAAGUUCAAACUCAAUCAGAACUUUGUCUUUGCUCCCACAAAAGGGGUCAAUGAAAUGGGUACAGAUCAGCUGACCCCUUCCUCAAUCAGUCACCUACAUGACCCCUUUCUAUGAAAAUUAUAAUCCAACUAGAUUAUCUUAUAACGGAUAAUCUAGAUGGAUUUCUUUAGAAAUCCUUAUUUAACCAACAAAUCCCUGUAUAAGGUUCAUUACUGUUAAUUUAUUAAGGCAUAUACUCUGAUUAGAAACACUGGCCCUAUACUGUGGAAAUGGGGUGAAAUGCCUUUCUCAAGAGUUUAUUGUCUAAUGUGAGAGAGGGGUGCUUGCAUCAAGCGGGGAUUGAAACUGCAAAGCAAAUUUUGAAUCAGUGAGUUCUUAUCUCUUGUUCAGCAAUACUCACUGCAUUACAGCUAACAUAUAAUAGCAGUAGUGCUCCAGCAUGGCAACAAACCAGAGCGCAUAAAGACUAUAAAGCUGUAAAAAGAGAUGCAAUUCUAUUGAGAAUUUCUAGGUGUCUUUGAAAAUACACUUGCUGGACAAUAUAUAUAUAUAUAUAUAUAUAUAUAUAUAUAUAUGUAUGUAUGUAUAUAUAUAUAUAUGUAUGUAUGUAUAUAUAUAUAUAUGUAUGUAUGUAUAUAUAUUGUCCAGAAUCCCAUGAGUUAGACAAAAGCAAGCACUCAUUCUGUGUAACAGAGGAGAAAAUGCUUAGUUUGUUAUGUUCUGGGUUCAAACGCUGCUGAUGUCAACUUUGCCUUUCAUCCUUUCAGGGUCAAGAAAAUAAGUACCAGUCAUGCACUGGGAUCAAUGUCAUCAACUUACCCCUCCACUGAAAAUAACUGUUUUUUUGCUAAAAUUGGGAAGGAUUAUAUAUGUAAUAUCAUAGUCUCAUGGUAACCAAAUUGCCAAAUGGUUUCAUGCCAGAAAUAGGGAGGCAAAUCCAGCAAUCAUCAGAUAUGCAUGAAUGGAAGAGCAUGGUCUGAGCUCUUUGCCACUGGAAGCCUGAAAGGGUCAUAUGGGAUUUAUGGGGUUUUGAGAUUCCAUUAAAAGCAGAAAGAAAUUCAUGGAUGCAAUAUAUCCAAGAGGAGAGAGUGUGUGUGUGUGUGUGUGUGUGUGACUUUAUAUGGAAAUGGUUCUUGGUCUAAAACACGAGGGUUUAUUAAUUGUAUAGCUGUAGUGUGUUUGUUGGCACAGAUGGUUGAGAGCUAUCUUAGUUUCUUGACAAUAAUAUUUAGUUCAGUGCCUCAUAUCUCUGAGUUCAAUUCCUGCCAGAGCCGAAUUUAUUAGUCAUGCCAGGAAUAAACUGGAAUUAAUAUAUUUAAAUUAUUAAAUCUCUAUUAGUAUUCAAACUGGAGUUGAAUUAGCACAAACAAAUGGUCUUACUUUUUUGUUGUCUGUUGUAGCAGUGGUUGUAGUAGUAUUAGUGGUAGUUAGUUGCAAAUAUAAUCUACCCUUACUCGUUUAUACUUUUAUAAUUACAGGGUUUAAUCUCAUAGAAUAUUUUUUAUUAUCAUUAUUAUUAUUAAGGUGGUGAGCUGGCUAAAUCGUUAGCAUGUCGGGCGAAAUGCUUAGCAGUAUUGCAUCUGCCUUUACGUUCUGAGUUCAAAUUCAAGCAUGGCUUAUCCUUUGUUUUUCAUUUUUUCGGGGUCAAUUAAAUUAAGUACCAGUUAAGUACUGAGGGUCGAUGUAAUCAACUUAACCCCUCCCCACAAAUUUCAGGCCUUGUACCUAUAGUAGAAAGGAUUAUCAUUAUUAUUAUUAAGGCGAUGAGCUGGCAGAAUUGUUAGCAUGCCGAGUGACGUGCGGUUUUGUCUGCCGCUAUGUUCUGAGUUCAAAUUCCACUGAGGUCGACUUUGCCUUUCAUCCUUUCGGGGUCAAUGUAAUUGGCUUAUCUCCUCCCCCUAAAUGUCAGGCCUUGUACCUUUACUAGAAAGGGUUAUUAAGGGGAUCAGCUGGCAGAAUCCUUAGCAUGCCAAGCAAAAAUUCUUUGUGGGAUUUCUCCUGGUUUUACAUUCUAGGUUCAAAUUCCACCGGGGUGACUUUGCCUUUCGUCCUGUUGGGAUUCAUAAAAUAAGUACCAGUUGAAUACUGGGGUUCAAUGUAAUUGAUCAACCACUUCGCCUGAAAUUGCUGGCCUUGAGCCAAAAUUUGAAACUAUUAUUAUUAUUACUAUUAUUCGUCUGUCUUUACAUUCUGAGUUCAAACUCUGCCAAGGUUGACUUUGCCUUUCAUCCUUUCAGGGUCAAUGAAAUAAGUACCAGUUAUGCACUGGGGUUGAUGUAAUUGAUAACCUUCCUCCCCCAAAGUCUCAGGCCUUGUGCCUAUUACUAAGGCAGUGAGCUGGCAGAAUUGUUAGCACGCUGGACAAAAUGCUUAGCAGUAUUUCGUUUGCUGCUAUGUUCUGAGUUCAAAUUCUGCUGAGGUCGACUUUGCCUUUCAUCCUUUCGGGGUCGAUAAUUUAAGUACCAGUUACGCACUGGGGUCAAUGUAAUCGACUAGCCCCCUAACCCAAAAUUUCAGGCCUUGUGCCCUUAGUAGAAAUUAUUAUUAUUAUUAUUAUUAUUAGUAGUAGUAGUAGUAGUAGUAGUAGUAAAGAGCAGUGGAUAAGCGGAAUUGUUUGAGUAGCAGAAAAAAAAUGCCUUUUGGUAUUUGUUUCAGCCCUUUGCAUUCUGAGUUCAAAUCCUGCUGAGGUCAACCUUGCCUUUCAUGCUUUCAGGCUUAAUUAAAUAAAUAUGAGUUGAACACUGGAAGGGUUGAUGUAAUUGACUUCCCCCUCCCCUCAAAAUUACUGGUACUGUGCCUAAUUUUGAAACAGUUAUUCAAGAUAGCAGUAUUUUGUCCAUCUGUAUGUUCAUCAGUUUGAAUUCCACCAAGGUGGACUUGGACCUUCAUCCUUUUGGGGUUGAUAAAAUAAGAACCAGUGGGGGUGGGGGGGUGGGUGUCAAUGUAAUCAAUUAGUCCCUUUCCCCAAAAUUUCAGGCCUUGUAGAAGAAAGGAUUGUUAUUGAGAUUGAAGAAUAUCAGAAUCGGUAACUCUCAGGAGAAAAUGGUUAUAAUUUAGUUAUGUCACCUCAAAAUCUUGCUAGAGACACCUUUUGCUUUCAAAUUUUUGUAUAUGUGUGCAUAUGUAUAUGUAUGUAGAUGUAUGCAUGUGUGCAUGUAUGUAUAUAUAUGCAUAUAAUAUGCACAGGAGUGGCUGUGUAGUAGGUAGCUUGCUUACCAGCCACAUAAUCUCACUGCUUGACACUUUGGACAAGUACUACUUUCGCCUCAGGCUGACCAAACCUAUCAGCGCCCACUACACUCACAGAGUGGUUGGUGUUAGGAAGGGCAUCCAGCCAUAGAAACAUUGCCAGAUCAGACUGGGCCUGGUGCAGGCUUCUGGCCUCCCAGACCCCAGUUGAACUGUCCAACUCAUGCUAGCAUGGAAAGCGGACGCUAGAUGAUGAUGAUAUAUACACAUACAUAUAUAUGUAUAUAUAUAUAUAUAUGUAUGUGUAUAUAUAUAUAUAUAUAUAUAUAUAUAUAUAUAUAUAUAUAAUAAUAAUUAAUAUUAAUAUUCGGGAAGUUAUUUCCGAGUCCACAGGGGAGAGAAGUUCAAUUUAGUGGUACUAAAAUGAAUUACUGUAUUAUAUACAUAUAAAUAAAUAGGUUUAAGAGACAGAAUCACCUUCAAGCAACUCAAUCAUCAUUGAAUGACAUGUUUUUUAAAUGUUAAUAAGAAUUAUCUCCCCUACAAAGUAGCUCUCAAAGUUGGAUUAUACAAUUGCUUGUAGCCAUGUUUAAUUCAUGGAGAGAAAAUUACCAUACAGAUAAGUUAACAUUUCCUUUUACUAAUAUUUCUUCUACUUUUAUUCCACAUUUCUGUUCUUUAUUUACUGAAGUAAAAUUAUUCCAACAACUUCUAGUUAUAUAAUUUUAGUUUGCCAUGUCUUAAUAUACAAUGUAAAUAGCAAAAUAAGUUCAUAGAAGAUAGACCUGAAGAUUGGCAAUAUAAUCGUUUUAAUAUGGUAUUGUAUUUAGAGACAUUCUAUUUCAGCAAUAUCAAGUAAUAUGUUGCCAUGAAACGCGCGUAGUCUAGAUGAUGUAAAGUAUAUUAUUUGUAGUAAGAAUUGAAGGUAUUAAUUUGAUAAUUUGGAAUAAGAAUUGUAGGUAUUAAUUUUGAUAAUUUUAAUAUUUAGUCCUAUAUGUACCUAUUGUGGAUAAUGUCAUUCAAUGAUGAUUGAGUUGCUUGAGGGUGAUUCUGUCUCUUAAGCCUAUCUAUAUCUAUCUAUCUAUC
rnacentral:lncRNA from 1 species